rnacentral:rRNA from 1 species
GUAUGUAGCGAGGUUAAGCCGACAGGUGUAGCCGUAGCGAAAGCGAGUCUGAACAGGGCGAAUUAGUUGCAUGCAGUAUACCCGAAACAGGUGAUCUAUCCAUGUCCAGGGUGAAGCGUGAGUAAAAUCAUGUGGAGGCCCGAACCGAUAUACGUUGAAAAGUAUUCGGAUGAGGUGUGGAUAGGGGUGAAAGGCCAAACAAACCUGGAAAUAGCUGGUUCUCCCCGAAAUGUAUUUAGGUACAGCCUUGCGUUUGAUUUACGGGGGUAGAGCACUGAAUGGGCUAGGGGUCUUACCGGAUUACCAAACCCAAUCAAACUCCGAAUACCGUAAAAUUUUAUCGCAGGAGUGAGACUACGAGAGCUAACUUCCGUGGUCGAGAGGGAAACAACCCAGAUCACCAGCUAAGGUCCCAAAAUUCAUGCUAAGUGGGAAACGAGGUGGAAAUGCACAGACAACCAGGAGGUUGGCUUAGAAGCAGCCAUCCUUUAAAGAAAGCGUAAUAGCUCACUGGUCGAGUGAGUCUGCGCGGAAAAUGUAACGGGCC